UACGAAGGGGGCUAGCGUUGCUCGGAAUCACUGGGCGUAAAGCGCACGUAGGCGGAUCUUUAAGUCAGGGGUGAAAUCCUGGAGCUCAACUCCAGAACUGCCUUUGAUACUGGGGAUCUCGAGUCCGGAAGAGGUGAGUGGAACUCCGAGUGUAGAGGUGAAAUUCGUAGAUAUUCGGAGGAACACCAGAAGCGAAGGCGGCCAACUGGCCCGAUACUGACGCUGAGGCGCGAAAGCGUGGGGAGCAAACAGG
rnacentral:rRNA from 1 species